AGCGAACGCUGGCGGCAGGCUUAACACAUGCAAGUCGAGCGGGCAUCUUCGGAUGUCAGCGGCAGACGGGUGAGUAACACGUGGGAACGUACCGUUCGGUUCGGAACAACUCUGGGAAACUGGAGCUAAUACCGGAUACGCCCUUAUGGGGAAAGGUUUACUGCCGAAGGAUCGGCCCGCGUCUGAUUAGCUAGUUGGUGGGGUAACGGCCUACCAAGGCGACGAUCAGUAGCUGGUCUGAGAGGAUGAUCAGCCACACUGGGACUGAGACACGGCCCAGACUCCUACGGGAGGCAGCAGUGGGGAAUAUUGGACAAUGGGCGCAAGCCUGAUCCAGCCAUGCCGCGUGAGUGAUGAAGGCCUUAGGGUUGUAAAGCUCUUUUGUCCGGGACGAUAAUGACGGUACCGGAAGAAUAAGCCCCGGCUAACUUCGUG
rnacentral:rRNA from 1 species